rfam:Salmo salar isolate Sally breed double haploid chromosome ssa18, whole genome shotgun sequence.
UGUAUUCACUACUCUAAGUUGCUCUGGAUAAGAGCGUCUGCUAAAUGACUAAAA